rnacentral:rRNA from 1 species
GACGAACGCUGGCGGCGUGCCUAAUACAUGCAAGUCGAGCGAACUUUAAGAGUGCUUGCACACUUAAAGUUAGCGGCGAACGGGUGAGUAACACGUAAAGAACCUACCUUAUAGACAGGGACAACUAUUGGAAACGAUAGCUAAUACCUGAUAAGAAAGAAACUCGCAUGAGAGAAGUUCGAAAGUCGGAGCAAUCUGACACUAUAAGAUGGCUUUGCGGUGCAUUAGCUAGUUGGUAGGGUAAAAGCCUACCAAGGCGACGAUGCAUAGCCGACCUGAGAGGGUGAUCGGCCACAUUGGGACUGAGACACGGCCCAGACUCCUACGGGAGGCAGCAGUAGGGAAUCUUCCGCAAUGGACGAAAGUCUGACGGAGCAACGCCGCGCGAGUGAAGAAGGAUUUCGGUUCGUAAAACUCUGUUGUUAGGGAAGAAAAAAUGUAUAGUAACUAUAUACAAAAGAGACGGUACCUAACCAGAAAGCCACGGCUAACUACGUGCCAGCAGCCGCGGUAAUACGUAGGUGGCAAGCGUUGUCCGGAAUUAUUGGGCGUAAAGCGCGCGCAGGUGGUUUAGAAAGUCUGAUGUGAAAGCCCACGGCUCAACCGUGGAGGGUCAUUGGAAACUAAUAAACUUGAGUGCAGGAGAGAAAAGUGGAAUUCCUAGUGUAGCGGUGAAAUGCGUAGAGAUUAGGAGGAACACCGGUGGCGAAAGCGGCUUUUUGGCCUGCAACUGACACUGAGGCGCGAAAGCGUGGGGAGCAAACAGG